CACCAGGCGCGAAAACUUUACAAUGCGGGAAACCGUGAUAAGGGAACUCCGAGUGCCCGUUAAAUCGGGCUGUCCACCAGUUUAAACAACUGGUGAAGAAAGGGCCGGGCAAGACCGGUGCCAGCCGCCGCGGUAAUACCGGCGGCUCGAGUGGUGGCCACUAUUACUGGGCUUAAAGCGUUCGUAGCUGGUUUGUUAAGUCUCUGGGGAAAUCUACCGACUUAACCGGUAGGCGUCUCAGGGAUACUGGCAGACUAGGGACCGGGAGAGGUGAGAGGUACUCCAGGGGUAGGAGUGAAAUCCUGUAAUCCUUGGGGGACCACCUGUGGCGAAGGCGUCUCACCAGAACGGCUCCGACAGUGAGGGACGAAAGCUGGGGGAGCAAACCGGAUUAGAUACCCGGGUAGUCCCAGCUGUAAACGAUGCGCGUUAGGUGUAUCGGUGACCACGAGUCACCGAGGUGCCGAAGAGAAAUCGUGAAACGUGCCGCCUGGGAAGUACGGUCGCAAGGCUGAAACUUAAAGGAAUUGGCGG
rnacentral:rRNA from 1 species